UGAGGAAUAUUGGUCAAUGGGCGAGAGCCUGAACCAGCCAAGUCGCGUGAAGGAAGAAGGAUCUAUGGUUCGUAAACUUCUUUUUUAGGGGAAUAAAGUGCGGUACGUGUACCGUUUUGUAUGUACCCUACGAAUAAGGAUCGGCUAACUCCGUGCCAGCAGCCGCGGUAAUACGGAGGAUCCGAGCGUUAUCCGGAUUUAUUGGGUUUAAAGGGUGCGUAGGCGGAAGAAUAAGUCAGUGGUGAAAGUUUGCAGCUCAACUGUAAAAUUGCCGUUGAAACUGUUUUUCUUGAGUGUAAAUGAGGUAGGCGGAAUGUGUUGUGUAGCGGUGAAAUGCUUAGAUAUGACACAGAACACCGAUUGCGAAGGCAGCUUACUAAGAUACAACUGACGCUGAGGC
rnacentral:rRNA from 1 species